UACAGAGGUCCCAAGCGUUGUUCGGAUUCAUUGGGCGUAAAGGGUGCGUAGGUGGCGGGGUAAGUUGGAUGUGAAAUCUCGGGGCUCAACCCCGAAACUGCAUUCAAUACUGCUCUGCUCGAGUACUGGAGAGGAGAUCGGAAUUUACGGUGUAGCAGUGAAAUGCGUAGAUAUCGUAAGGAAGACCAGUGGCGAAGGCGGGUCUCUGGACAGUUCCUGACGCUGAGGCACGAAGGUCAGGGGAGCAAACGGG
rnacentral:rRNA from 1 species